rnacentral:rRNA from 1 species
AUUGAACGCUGGCGGCAGGCCUAACACAUGCAAGUCGAACGGUAACAGGAAGAAGCUUGCUUCUUUGCUGACGAGUGGCGGACGGGUGAGUAAUGUCUGGGAAACUGCCUGAUGGAGGGGGAUAACUACUGGAAACGGUAGCUAAUACCGCAUAACGUCGCAAAACCAAAGAGGGGGACCUUCGGGCCUCUUGCCAUCGGAUGUGCCCAGAUGGGAUUAGCUAGCAGGUGGGGUAACGGCUCACCUAGGCGACGAUCCCUAGCUGGUCUGAGAGGAUGACCAGCCACACUGGAACUGAGACACGGUCCAGACUCCUACGGGAGGCAGCAGUGGGGAAUAUUGCACAAUGGGCGCAAGCCUGAUGCAGCCAUGCCGCGUGUAUGAAGAAGGCCUUCGGGUUGUAAAGUACUUUCAGCGGGGAGGAAGGGAGUAAAGUUAAUACCUUUGCUCAUUGACGUUACCCGCAGAAGAAGCACCGGCUAACUCCGUGCCAGCAGCCGCGGUAAUACGGAGGGUGCAAGCGUUAAUCGGAAUUACUGGGCGUAAAGCGCACGCAGGCGGUUUGUUAAGUCAGAUGUGAAAUCCCCGGGCUCAACCUGGGAACUGCAUCUGAUACUGGCAAGCUUGAGUCUCGUAGAGGGGGGUAGAAUUCCAGGUGUAGCGGUGAAAUGCGUAGAGAUCUGGAGGAAUACCGGUGGCGAAGGCGGCCCCCUGGACGAAGACUGACGCUCAGGUGCGAAAGCGUGGGGAGCAAACAGG